rnacentral:rRNA from 1 species
CGGACGGGUGAGUAACGCGUGGGUAACCUGCCUUACACAGGGGGAUAACACUUAGAGAUAGGUGCUAAUACCGCAUGAGCGCACAGGACCGCAUGGUCGAGUGUGAAAAACUGAGGUGGUGUAAGAUGGACCCGCGUCUGAUUAGCUAGUUGGUGAGGUAACGGCCCACCAAGGCGACGAUCAGUAGCCGGCCUGAGAGGGUGAACGGCCACAUUGGGACUGAGACACGGCCCAAACUCCUACGGAAGGCAGCAG